rnacentral:misc_RNA from 1 species
ACUUGAAGCUUUGACAAUGAGUGCCAAAAAACAGGGCAGAGAAUUCAGGAAAAAAAAAAAGGCAUAAAUCAAAGCAUAUGGCGCUGGUACACAAACUUUUUCUUCAAGUUAUGGUUUUGGUUUGCAGUGUUGAGCUUUUGACUUCAAUAUCUUUAACAUUUUCAACAUUGAAGGUAUCGGCAUAUGCCUAAAGCAUAUGCCUCCAUUGAAGCACAGUCGAAGUCUACAAUCAAGCAUCCUUUAAACAUGCUUCAUGGUUCUUUCAAGUAAGAUUUUAUCUAAAUGAACCAGUAAAACAUCCAAAU